UACAGAGGUCCCGAGCGUUGUUCGGAUUUAUUGGGCGUAAAGGGUGCGUAGGCGGCGGAGUAAGUUGGGUGUGAAAUCCCGGGGCUCAACCUCGGAAUUGCAUUCAAUACUGCUUCGCUCGAGUACUGGAGAGGAGACUGGAAUUCCUGGUGUAGCGGUGGAAUGCGCAGAUAUCAGGAGGAACACCAAUAGCGAAGGCAGCUCGCUGGGACGUUACUGACACUGAGGCGCGAAAGCGUGGGGAGCGAACAGG
rnacentral:rRNA from 1 species